UACGUAGGCAGCAAGCGUUGUUCGGAAUUACUGGGCGUAAAGAGUGUGUAGGCGGUGCCGCAAGUUUGGUGUGAAAUCUCCCGGCUUAACUGGGAGGGUGCGCCGAAAACUGCGGUGCUUGAGUGUGGGAGAGGGAAGCGGAAUUCCUGGUGUAGCGGUGAAAUGCGUAGAUAUCAGGAGGAACACCUGCGGUGUAGACGGCUUCCUGGACCACCACUGACGCUGAGACACGAAAGCGUGGGUAGCAAACAGG
rnacentral:rRNA from 1 species